rnacentral:rRNA from 1 species
UACGAAGGGGGCUAGCGUUGCUCGGAAUCACUGGGCGUAAAGGGUGCGUAGGCGGGUCUUUUAAGUCAGGGGUGAAAUCCUGGAGCUCAACUCCAGAACUGCCUUUGAUACUGAGGAUCUUGAGUAUGACAGAGGUGAGUGGAACUGCGAGUGUAGAGGUGAAAUUCGUAGAUAUUCGCAAGAACACCAGUGGCGAAGGCGGCUCACUGGGUCAUUACUGACGCUGGAGGCACGAAAGCGUGGGGAGCAAACAGGG